UGAUGUGAUUUGGUCAAAUGGACAAUGAGC
rnacentral:piRNA from 1 species